GUUUCCGUAGGUGAACUGCGGAAGGAUCAUUGUCGAAACCUGCCUAGCAGAACGACCCGUGAACGUGAUAUCAAACAACUCCACGAGGGGGUGCGGAUGCAUCUUAGCCCCAAAGCCCCUCGGUGCCUUGGUGUGCUUGCCUUUGCCCCAUCCACUCUCGGGCGGUUGAGUUGCAAGGUCUCGUCAUACUCCAAGGCAAAACGAACAACCCCCGGCGUGAAUUGCGCCAAGGAUUUGAAAAAUGAAAAGAGUGCACGUUUGCUGUCGCCGUCCCGUACGCGGUGUCUGUGCGACAGUGACGUUGUUACUUUUGUCGUGAAAAUACAAAACGACUCUCGGCAACGGAUAUCUCGGCUCUCGCAUCGAUGAAGAACGUAGCGAAAUGCGAUACUUGGUGUGAAUUGCAGAAUCCCGUGAACCAUCGAGUCUUUGAACGCAAGUUGCGCCCCAAGCCAUUAGGCCGAGGGCACGUCUGCCUGGGUGUCACGCAUCGUCGCCCCCAUCAAACCAUUAGUCCUCGGGCUACGGUUGAACUGUGGGCGGAAAUUGGCCUCCCGUGUGCUCACCGCUCGCGGUUGGCCUAAAAUUGAGUCCUCGGCGAUGAAGUGCCGCGACAAUCGGUGGGAAUGCUUUUAGCUGCCUCGUUCGGAGUCGUGUGCACUCGUCGAUUUGGACCCUCUGACCCUUUUUGGCAUUGCAACGUCGAUGCUCGCAUCGCGACCCCAGGUCAGGGGGAUUACCCCGCUGAGUUU
rnacentral:rRNA from 1 species